rnacentral:rRNA from 1 species
UAAAGUGGCGUACGGGUGAGUAACACGUGAAUUAUCUACCUCCCGAGUGGGGAAUAACUGAGAGAAAUCUUAGCUAAUACCGCAUAACACUUACGAGUCAAAGCAGCAAUGCGCUUGGAGAGGAGUUCGCGGCCGAUUAGUUAGUUGGCGGGGUAAUGGCCCACCAAGACGAUGAUCGGUAUCCGGCCUGAGAGGGCGCACGGACACACUGGAACUGAAACACGGUCCAG